GGGUGCGAUCAUACCAGCACUAAUGCACCGGAUCCCAUCAGAACUCCGAAGUUAAAAGUGCUUGGGCGAGAGUAGUACUAAGAUGGGUGACCUCUUGGGAAGUCCUCGUGUUGCACCCA
rnacentral:rRNA from 1 species